rnacentral:lncRNA from 1 species
UAGUGAGCAAGGGCUCCGGUUGGCUCCUUGUACCUCACGUUUUUACUUCUGCAGCUUUUUGCAAUUUUUACGUUUUGCGACUACGCAGGACUUCUGUGUUGUAAAAAUCUGACUGGCGAUAAGUGUUGAUCCGAGCUGGGCUGUGCAUCUGUUAGACAAAAAUCAUUCGCGUUAGGAAACCGCAAUUGUAUCAACAAUUAUGUUUUCAUGUCAAUUACAUUUUUUAUUAGUUCGUUCGUUUGUUCGUUUGUUUUGUGUGUGCAUGUGUUUGUGUCUAUUUAAAAGAAACCUUUUUAUCCUAUGAAAUGUUUAGUUGACUUCGUUUACAACGAACAUGAGGAAGUUCCAAACUACGGCAGUGAUUCAGACCAAGUGGAAUGAGAUCUUGUUCAUGAAAUACUGAGCUUGCCAAGUUUUUCCAGCUGCGGGUUUAUCAUUUCUACCUACUCCUGAGUUCUAUUUGAAACAAGACAGUUCAAUCUUACGCACUCAUCUGCGAUUUACAAGCAGCACCCGUGGAGGAAGGGAUAGAAAUAACUACACCCAUGUUUCAUGAUGUUUUAGAAAGUAAACAACAAUCGACCUUAUUUCCAGUCCGUUCUCGAUCGAGAAUGUAGACAAACCCUUGAAUGUGAAACGAAAACGGAGACGACUGAGAAACUGGUGGCAUUGCUUCUAUAAACUUAGCUGGCAAUGUUCGAGGCUGCACUUCCACAUACCGUACUUACGGCUAUUGAGUUGUGAAGCUCUUUUUAAGGCAAUGUGUUCUGAAAUUUGAGUUUUUUUGACAUUGACUGUCCAUUUCUCCACCUGCUGUAGUGCACCAAGAACCUUUUGAGGAUUGAUGAAUGAGAUUGCCUGAUUAACUCGCAGCCGGUGCUAUCGGUGGAAAUUGCGAUUAAGCGAAACAUGAUUAGACCUCGCUGAUGCACAUAGACCACCAAGGGAAAUAAUCAAUAGCUCUCACGCGACUGCUGCAGAGGAGAUCAAGGGCAGAGCUGCGGACCUGGAUGUGGUCUCGCAGUUGUCGGGGUGCACAGGUGCGGAACUUGUUUCCCUUGCCCUUUUGAGCAGACAAACUCCAAAAUUAAAGGAAUUGCAAAUUUGCAACCGCAAGGAUUCCCACAUGCAACCCCGAAUUCCUCUGGGCUA